rnacentral:rRNA from 1 species
CCUACGGGAGGCAGCAGUGGGGAAUAUUGGGCAAUGGGCGCAAGCCUGACCCAGCAACGCCGCGUGAAGGAAGAAGGCUUUCGGGUUGUAAACUUCUUUUAUCAGGGACGAAGCAAGUGACGGUACCUGAUGAAUGAGCCACGGCUAACUACGUGCCAGCAGCCGCGGUAAUACGUAGGUGGCAAGCGUUAUCCGGAUUUACUGGGUGUAAAGGGUGUGUAGGCGGGAGAGUAAGUCAGAGGUGAAAAACAUGGGCUCAACCUGUGGCGUGCAUUUGAAACUGUUUUUCUAGAGUGCUGGAGAGGCAGACGGAAUGGCUGGUGUAGCGGUGAAAUGCGGAGAUAUUAGGAGGAACACCAGUGGCGAAGGCGGUCUGCUGGACAGCAACUGACGCUGAGGCGCGAAAGCGUGGGGAGCAAACAGGAGUAGAUACCCUAGUAGUC